rnacentral:rRNA from 1 species
CCUACGGGAGGCAGCAGUGAGGAAUAUUGGUCAAUGGACGAGAGUCUGAACCAGCCAAGUAGCGUGAAGGAUGACGGCCCUAUGGGUCGUAAACUUCUUUUAUAAAGGAAUAAAACGAGGCACGUGUGCCUUUUUGCAUGUACUUUAUGAAUAAGGAUCGGCUAACUCCGUGCCAGCAGCCGCGGUAAUACGGAGGAUCCGAGCGUUAUCCGGAUUUAUUGGGUUUAAAGGGAGCGGGGAUGGGUUGUUAAGUCAGUUGUGAAAGUUUGCGGCUCAACCGUAAAAUUGCAAUUGAUACUGGCAGUCUUGAGUACAGUUGAGGUAGGCGGAAUUCGUGGUGUAGCGGUGAAAUGCUUAGAUAUCACGAAGAACCCCGAUUGCGAAGGCAGCUUACUAAACUGUGACUGACAUUGAUGCUCGAAAGUGUGGGUAUCAAACAGGAUUAGAUACCCGGGUAGUC